rnacentral:rRNA from 2 species
CAGACCGCCAGCUAAGGUCCCAAAGUCAUGGUUAAGUGGGAAACGAUGUGGGAAGGCCCAGACAGCCAGGAUGUUGGCUUAGAAGCAGCCAUCAUUUAAAGAAAGCGUAAUAGCUCACUGGUCGAGUCGGCCUGCGCGGAAGAUGUAACGGGGCUAAACCAUGCACCGAAGCUGCGGCAGCGACGCUGAUGCGUUGUUGGGUAGGGGAGCGUUCUGUAAGCCUGUGAAGGUGGCCUGUGAGGGUUGCUGGAGGUAUCAGAAGUGCGAAUGCUGACAUAAGUAACGAUAAAGCGGGUGAAAAGCCCGCUCGCCGGAAGACCAAGGGUUCCUGUCCAACGUUAAUCGGGGCAGGGUGAGUCGACCCCUAAGGCGAGGCCGAAAGGCGUAGUCGAUGGGAAACGGGUUAAUAUUCCCGUACUUGGUGUUACUGCGAAGGGGGGACGGAGAAGGCUAUGUUGGCCGGGCGACGGUUGUCCCGGUUUAAGCGUGUAGGUGUGUGUUCCAGGUAAAUCCGGUUCACUUUAACACUGAGGCGUGAUGACGAGGCACUACGGUGCUGAAGCAACAA